AUGUACCUCUCGGCAUUCUCCACAGCGUCGCACAGCGGGGAGCCCGAGGCCGGGAAGGACAUCUCAACCAUCGUGGCCGUCGACCGGGACAAGAACAGCCAGCAAGCGGCGAAAUGGGCAGUGGAUCGGCUCAUGGCCAGGGGGAGCACCCUCCAGUUGGUCCAUGUCAGGAUCAACCAAAGCCGCGGAGUUGACACAGAUGCAGAUAUGUCACAACUGUUUAUCUCAUACAGAGGCUACUGUGCUCGUAAAGGGAUGCAUCUAAAUGAGGUGAUCUUGGAUGGCAAUGAUAUCUCCAAAGCAAUAAUUGAUUAUGCUACUGGUCACGCCAUCACCGAUAUCGUAGUUGGAGCAUCCACUAGGAACACAUUCAUCAGAAGAUUUAGAAAUCCUGAUGUGCCAACAUGCUUGAUGAAGAUGGCGCCUGAUUAUUGCACAGUGCAUGUAAUACAUAAAGGGAAGGCCAUCCAAGUGAAGGCAGCCAAAUCUCCGGCACCCUUUAGUAUUCUCCCUCCGAAGCAAAACUCCCAACCAAACAUCGAACCCGAUGCAUUCCCAAGAUACCUAGGCAAUACCAUCAAGAGAAAGAACCCAUCGUCACCGAAGACAAGUAGAACAUCAGUAGACCGGUUAUCUGGCUACGCAAAGGUCUCAACAAAAGAUAGGCAUCUCCUCUCUGGAAGGCAAGCACCUCAAAAGGAUUUCGACGACUACAUCGACUUCAUUGCACCACCAAGGCCCUCCGUGACUCGCAGCUCCUUUUCAGAUGACGUUGAUUUUCCCAUGAGCAUGGAGUUAAAUUCUGUGGACUACGCUGAAUCAAUAGAACUAUCAUCAUAUGCAUCCUUGGAAAGCCUAAGUUCAGCCGGGAAGGAUGUAGAAGCUGAGAUGAGACGACUGAGACUAGAGCUGAAGCAGACAAUGGAAAUGUAUAACUCCGCAUGUAAGGAAGCACUUGACGCCAAACAGAAGGCGGCUCAGCUGUCCCAGAUGAAGGUGGAAGAGUCUAAAUUGUACCAAGAACUAAGGAGUUCAGAAGAAGAAGCCCUUGCGCUUGUUGAAAUGGAGAAAGCAAAGUGCAAAGCUGCGCUGGAGGCAGCAGAAGCUGCCCAAAAAAUUGCAGAGCUCGAGGCGCAGAAGAGACUAAGAGCAGAAUGGAAGGCAAAGCGCGAGUUCGAGGAGAGAAGGAGAGCAUCGGACACGGAUCUCCGGUACAGGAGGUAUUCCAUUGAUGAUAUAGAAGCCGCCACACAUAAGUUUGACAGGGCACUCAAGAUAGGCGAAGGUGGAUAUGGACCAGUAUAUAAAGCUGUAUUGGAUCAUACUAAUGUUGCUAUUAAAAUCCUAAGACCAGACGCAUCACAGGGGAGGAAACAGUUUCAGCAAGAGAUUGAAAUACUUAGCAGCAUGCGGCAUCCAAACAUGGUCCUGCUGCUCGGAGCAUGCCCGGAGUAUGGCUGUCUGGUGUACGAGUACAUGGACUACGGAAGCCUAGAGGACCGGCUCUGCAGAAGAGGCAACACCAAACCAAUCCCAUGGAGCAUCCGCUUCAGGAUCGCCGCAGAUAUCGCUACCGGCCUUCUCUUCCUCCACCAGGCGAAGCCAGAACCACUUGUCCACCGAGACCUGAAGCCCGGCAACAUCCUCCUCGACCACAACUUCGUCAGCAAGAUCAGCGACGUCGGCCUCGCGAGGCUGGUGCCACAGUCCAUAGCUGAAGUCACACAGUACAGGAUGACGUCCACAGCCGGCACAUUCUGCUACAUCGACCCUGAGUACCAGCAGACGGGCAUGCUGACCACCAAAUCCGACAUAUACUCGUUCGGCAUCCUGCUGCUCCAGAUCAUCACAACCAGGUCCCCCAUGGGCCUCACGCACCAAGUCGAGCAUGCCAUAGAGAAAGGAGCCUUCCAGGAGGUACUCGACCCGACGGUGACAGACUGGCCAGUGGAAGAGGCCCUGGCGUUCACGCAGCUGGCUUUGAAAUGUGCGGAGGUACGGAAGAAGGACCGGCCAGAUCUCGGAAAAGAAAUCUUGCCAGAGUUGAACAGGCUGCGGACUCUUGGACAGGAGUAUGAAGCUGCCCAGGUCAGCAACACGAGCUACUCGAGCGCCACUUCACACAGUUUCAACAAUGAUGAUGUAUCGUCGCCAUAA
rnacentral:rRNA from 1 species